GUAGUCUGCAACUCGACUGCAUGAAGCUGGAAUCGCUAGUAAUCGCGAAUCAGAAUGUCGCGGUGAAUACGUUCCCGGGUCUUGUACACACCGCCCGUCACACCAUGGGAGCCGACAACGCCCGAAGUCAGUGACCCAACCUGAGAGGGAGGGAGCAGCCGAAGGCAGGUCUGAUGACUGGGGUGAAGUCGUAACAAGGUAGC
rnacentral:rRNA from 1 species